rnacentral:rRNA from 1 species
AGUGAACGCUGGCGGUAGGCCUAACACAUGCAAGUCGAACGGCAGCACAGUAAGAGUUUGCCCUUACGGGUGGCGAGUGGCGGACGGGUGAGGAAUACAUCGGAAUCUACUUUUUCGUGGGGGACAACGUAGGGAAACUUACGCUAAUACCGCAUACGACCUACGGGUGAAAGCAGGGGAUCUUCGGACUUUGCGCGAUUGAAUGAGCCGAUGUCGGAUUAGCUAGUUGGCGGGGUAAAGGUCCACCAAGGCGACGAUCCGUAGCUGGUCUGAGAGGAUGAUCAGCCACACUGGAACUGAGACACGGUCCAGACUCCUACGGGAGGCAGCAGUGGGGAAUAUUGGACAAUGGGCGCAAGCCUGAUCCAGCCAUACCGCGUGAGUGAAGAAGGCCUUCGGGUUGUAAAGCCCUUUUAUUGGGAAAGAAAAGCAGCAGAUUAAUACCCCGCUGUUCUGACGGUACCCAAACAAUAAGCACCGGCUAACUUCGUG